rnacentral:rRNA from 1 species
GACGAACGCUGGCGGCGUGCUUAACACAUGCAAGUCGAACGGAAAGGCCCUGCUUUUGUGGGGUGCUCGAGUGGCGAACGGGUGAGUAACACGUGAGUAACCCGCCCUUGACUUUGGGAUAACUCCAGGAAACUGGGGCUAAUACCGGAUAGGAGCUCUUGCUGCAUGGUGGGGGUUGGAAAGUUUCGGCGGUUGGGGAUGGACUCGCGGCUUAUCAGCUUGUUGGUGGGGUAGUGGCUUACCAAGGCUUUGACGGGUAGCCGGCCUGAGAGGGUGACCGGCCACAUUGGGACUGAGAUACGGCCCAGACGCCUACGGGAGGCAGCAGUGGGGAAUAUUGCACAAUGGGCGGAAGCCUGAUGCAGCAACGCCGCGUGCGGGAUGACGGCCUUCGGGUUGUAAACCGCUUUCGCCGGUGACGAAGCGUGAGUGACGGUAAUGAGUAAAGAAGCACCGGCUAACUACGUG